rnacentral:ncRNA from 12 species
UUUUGCUCAGUGGUUGGAGCAUCCGCCUUUCAAGCGGGAGGUCGUCGGUUCGAAACCGUCC